rnacentral:rRNA from 1 species
AGCGAACGCUGGCGGCAGGCCUAACACAUGCAAGUCGAACGAACUCUUCGGAUUUAGUGGCGGACGGGUGAGUAACACGUGGGAACGUGCCUUUUGGUUCGGAAUAACUCAGGGAAACUUGUGCUAAUACCGAAUGUGCCCUUCGGGGGAAAGAUUUAUCGCCAUUAGAUCGGCCCGCGUUUGAUUAGCUAGUUGGUGAGGUAACGGCUCACCAAGGCGACGAUCAGUAGCUGGUCUGAGAGGAUGACCAGCCACACUGGGACUGAGACACGGCCCAGACUCCUACGGGAGGCAGCAGUGGGGAAUCUUGCGCAAUGGGCGAAAGCCUGACGCAGCCAUGCCGCGUGAAUGAUGAAGGUCUUAGGAUUGUAAAAUUCUUUCACCGGGGACGAUAAUGACGGUACUGGGAGAAGAAGCCCCGGCUAACUUCGUG